AGUGAACGCUGGCGGUAGGCCUAACACAUGCAAGUCGAACGGCAGCACAGAGGAGCUUGCUCCUUGGGUGGCGAGUGGCGGACGGGUGAGGAAUACAUCGGAAUCUACUCUGUCGUGGGGGAUAACGUAGGGAAACUUACGCUAAUACCGCAUACGACCUACGGGUGAAAGCAGGGGACCUUCGGGCCUUGCGCGAUUGAAUGAGCCGAUGUCGGAUUAGCUAGUUGGCGGGGUAAAGGCCCACCAAGGCGACGAUCCGUAGCUGGUCUGAGAGGAUGAUCAGCCACACUGGAACUGAGACACGGUCCAGACUCCUACGGGAGGCAGCAGUGGGGAAUAUUGGACAAUGGGCGCAGGCCUGAUCCAGCCAUACCGCGUGGGUGAAGAAGGCCUUCGGGUUGUAAAGCCCUUUUGUUGGGAAAGAAAUCCAGCUGGCUAAUACCCGGUUGGGAUGACGGUACCCAAAGAGUAAGCACCGGCUAACUUCGUGCCAGCCGCCGCGGUAA
rnacentral:rRNA from 1 species